rnacentral:lncRNA from 1 species
AAAUUAUCAAGAGAAAAUGGAGUAUUAGCAAAUUUGAGGAGGCAGCAUCUGCAUACCUUUAAACAUGCAGUAACUGAAUACCAGGUAAGUAAACAAGGGGCUUUUGAGAUUCACAGUCCUAAUGUAAGAUAACUGUUCACGGUUUUCAUUACAAAGAUGUUGAAAAUGAGAUGUGAGCACCAUUCAGAAGCAAAGGCACCACCAGACAUAAAGGGAACACGACUCUACUGCUGGGAACAGACCCUUUUCCUCUCCCUAAGACCAAGAUCUGAGCAAACAAGAUUUUGGCUAGGAUCUUAUUUAGAGUGAUUAGAAAAGCAAGAACAACAGAAUUAAAAAAGAUACUUGAGAAAAGAAGCUAGAGAGUAAAAACUGAAGCAUGUCUAGGAGUUCCCUUAUGGCAUAGCAGGUUAAGGACCCUGCACUGUCACUGCAGUGGCUUGGAUCCCUGCUGUGGCACAAGUUCGAUCCCUGGCUUGAGAACUUCUACACGCCCCAAAGGUGCAGCCAAAAAAAGAAAAAGAAAAACUGAGGUAUAUCUAAAGAGAGGGAAAGGGACUGACUGCACAUGUAGGGUGAGAAAGGAUUAGUGACAAAUCAAGCUUUCCAACAGGGAAGAGGUGGCAAAUUCCAGAGCUGGUGUGACCAUAUUCCAGAAAGGGGGUGUGGUGAGGGGCAGUGAGAAUGGGAUAUGAAGGAGUAAUCUCCCAAUUUUCUCAAGCUUUAGGAUGAGCCAUGAGGUGAUUAUAUUAUAUGGUAUACAGGAAGAACAAAGCACAAAAUGACAAAAUUGGAAGGUCAAUGAGUGUCUACAGACAAGCUUAAACUGGCCACAACAACUGAAAUAAAACACUGUAAUAGUCAUAGACAACUUAAGCCACUCACCAGGUGUGGGGCCACAGACAAGUUACCUGACCUCUAUUAAGUCCUAUUUCCAAAUCUUUUGCUUACCACACUUCACAAGGAAUUAAUUUGUAAAGAAGGAAAAUGUAACCUGUAAAGCACCAUAUUCAUUCAAGAGGUUGUCUAAGAGCUUUCAUAUGGCAGCAAAAAGGAAUCUCAGCAGAACUAACUCCUUUUUUUCUAUUUCACAAGGACAGAUAUAUAUUAUAUCUACAAAUAGGUACAGUAAGACAAAGUCAUGAUGUUAACAGUAUAACUAGGAAAGCAUUCCUUUCUACGAGAGGAAGGAAAAAAACUUAGUUGAGGAGUUUCCUGGUGGCUCAGUGGGUUAAGGAUCCAGCUCUGUCACUACUGUGGCUCUGCUUAGUGCUAUGGCGAGGGUUCGAUCCCUGGCCUGGGAAUUACUGCCUGCUGAGGAUGUAGGCAAAAAAAUUCAAUCAGUUCACAUUGUACACUCCAAUUUCAAUAGCAGUUAAGAGGGAUUUCAUGUUCUAAGAGUCAUUCCAGAGACUAUUUUUAGCUGAAACUUAAACACAAUAUAUCUGUCCAUUAUCAAGGCUAGAAGCUGCCCAAGGCUGAAGAGAAUAAAAUCCUGCUGAGUAUUCAGAUAACAAUUUAUUUAUAAUUACACAUAUACACUAUAUAACCUUUUAAUCAAAAUGUACAAAAUUAUCCAGGUGAGUACAGCUAUAUAAAACAAAACUUAAAGAAAACCAGGGGCUGAGUCUGAAGUCCUAGAAAACAUGAAAAAAUCAUAUUCUGCCAUAAAGAACCAAUAGGAAGCACUCUCCUGAUUAUGCCACAUUAGGCAACAUGAACAAACUUUCCCACUAAAGGCAAAUAAUAGAGUUGGGCAAAAUACAAGAAAUGGCUUUCUUAAAGAAUCAAAGAACCAACAGGAUAGUGCUUUCAGAUCCAUUAAAAGAGUGGAAUUCAGAGAGAUGACCCCAGCAAUCCAGAAAAAACUAGAAGUUAAAUUGUAUUUGACAGACAGACCCUGAAGGACAAAAUGAAAAUCCUCCUUCCAACCCUCAGGUUAGGAACCUAAGGGCUACACCUUAGAAAUAUGGGUGAACUGGAAAUUAAACAGUCCAAACACUGAAUGCAAUGUGGCCUUGAAUCAUCCGGUUGGCACACACAAAAAAGCUGAGAUUAGACUAAGUAAUCCUAGAUUCCCUCAAGUAGAUGCCACUCCCUGCCACACCCCUGCAAAAAUCCUUCCUGGAAGAUAUCAUCCUUGUCUCAAAUGAUUUCUCAAGUUAUUUUUUCAAAUCUAACACCCAGUACACAAUGAAAGACAACCAAGCACAUGGGGAGACAAGAGAAUAAGAUCAAAAGCCACAGAAAAAAACAAACAAUUAAAAGAUACUCAUAGAUGGAGUUCCUGUGUCAUGGCUCAGCAAUAAGAAACCCAACUCGUAUCCAUGAGGAGGCAGGUUCAAUCCCCAGCCUCACUCAGUGGGUUAAGGAUCUGGCAUUGCUGUAAACUAUGGUGUGGGUCACAGAUGCAGCUCGGAUCUAGAGUUGCUGUGGCUGUGGCAUAGGCUUGCAGCUACAGCUCCAAUUCAACCCCUAGCCUGAGAACUUCCAUAUGCUGCAGGUGCAGUCCUAAAAGGACCAAAAAAAAAAAAAAAAAAAGAGAGAGAGAGAAAGAGACUGAUACAGAUUCCAAAGUUUGGAACUACAAAACAUAGAUUUUAAAUCAUACAUACGACAUUCAAGAAGAUGAAAACCAAACUUAAAAAUCUCAACAAUGAACUAGAAACCAUAAAAAUUAAUAUACCAGAUUUUUAAAAAGAAACAAAGAGGAGUUACUGUCAUGGCUCAGUGGUUAACGAACCUGCCUAGCAUCCAUGAGGACGUGGGUUCGAUCCCUGGCCUCCCUCAGUGGGUUAAGGAUCCAGCAUUGCUGUGAGCUGUGGUGUAGGUUGCAGACACAGCUUGGAUCUGACAUUGCUGUGGCUGUAGCACAGGCUGGCAGCUACAGCUCCGAUUCGACCCCUAGCCUGGGAACCUCCAUAUGCCACAGGUGCAGCCCUCAAAAGACAAAAAAAAAGGCAAAAAUAAAAAUAAAAAAAGAAUAAUUACGUUAUUGAAAAAUACAAAAACUGAAAUUAACAACUCAAUGAACGGGUUUAACAGACAGUGGUCAUAGCUGAGACAGUGAAUUAGAGACGGGUCGGGGGAAAAGCUCAGAACGAAGAGAGGAUAAGAAACAUGAGGAGACAGUGAGAAGGUCUAACUCACUUCUUAGAAUGCCAGAAGGAAAGGAGAGAUGAUAUGGGCUAGAAGCAAUAUUCAAAUGGCUGAAAAAUUCCAAAAAUGAUGAAAGAUGUCAAACCACAUUAAGAAUCUCAAUGAGUUUCUAGCUGAAAACCAACAAAGAAAAAUUUAAAAGCAUCCUGAGGAAGGAAAAGAUAACUUUCAAAGAAGCAACCAGUUACAUGGAUACCUUAACUCUCAACAAGAAAAACAGAAGCUAAAAAACGUGUAAUGGAAUCUCUAAGGAACGGAAAUAACAACAUAGGAACUCCAUAU